UCAAAAAAUGGCUCAUUUUGUGAUAUUUCAAAACAAGGUCAUAACAUAUAGACAUACAACAUGUCAUUCUUGAAUUUUUUUAAAUAAGUAUAAUUAGAGGCUUGUUCGCCUGUAGCUCUCUUAGUUAGCUUGAAUGGCUAUUAUUAAAAUGAUCACACUAGCACUAGCAUUAAUUCUUUCAACACCUGUGGAUUAAAAGUCUACUGUACAGGCUGUGUGUGGUGGCAGAAGCAUGUGGAUCUCUGUGAACUUGAGGCCUAGGCCAGCCAGGGAUAUGCAGUAAGAACCCAUCUCAAGGAACAGAAAAGAAAAAAGAAGAGAAGAGAAGAGAAGAGAAGAGAAGAGAAGAGAAGAGAAGAGAAGAGAAGAGAAGAGAAGAGAAGAGAAGAGAAGAGAAAAAAAGACAAAAGAAGAAAGGAGAGGAAAGAAAAGGAAAGGAAAUCUACUGUACAUCAAUUGUAGGGUUACAAAUGCUAAGACACAUGUGUGUCUCUUGAGAUGGCUUCACAGCAUUUUGCAUUUUGUAAAAAACCAAAGAGUUGAAGAUGUGGAGUGAAUUAGCAAGCAGAUGGAGCAAGAAAGCAGGUGACGCAGCAGAGUAAAGAGCAAUGAGAUAGGGAUGCUGAGAGAUGGCUCAGGGCUAAGUGAUGAGUGAAAACGGAAUCGAUUUCCACUGUGCAGUAUAAGGAUUUGAGAAUUGUACCCACUGACAGAUCUACCCACCACACAUUUUUGUGUGUGGUAAGAACACUUAUGAUCUAUUCUUUUAGGAACUUUCAAUGAUAUAAUAACACAUUAUUAACUAUGGUCACCAUGCUACACAAUAGAACUCAGGGAUCUGGUC
rnacentral:lncRNA from 1 species